rnacentral:rRNA from 1 species
AAUGCUUCCACAAUCCGACGAAAGUCUUGAUGGAGCAUGCCGCGUGAGCGAAGAAAGUUUUCUUGAUCGAAAAGCUCUGUUGUUAGGGAAGAACACGUACGGGAGUUACUGCCCGUGCCAUGACGGUCCCUUAUUAGAAAGCCACGGCUAACUACGUGCC